rnacentral:rRNA from 1 species
GAUGAACGCUAGCUACAGGCUUAACACAUGCAAGUCGAGGGGAAACGGCAUUAAGUGCUUGCACUUUUUGGACGUCGACCGGCGCACGGGUGAGUAACGCGUAUCCAACCUUCCCAUGACUAAGGGAUAACCUGCCGAAAGGCAGACUAAUACCUUAUGGUCUUCACUGACGGCAUCAGAUGUGAAGUAAAGAUUUAUCGGUUAUGGAUGGGGAUGCGUCUGAUUAGCUUGUUGGCGGGGUAACGGCCCACCAAGGCAACGAUCAGUAGGGGUUCUGAGAGGAAGGUCCCCACAUUGGAACUGAGACACGGUCCAAACUCCUACGGGAGGCAGCAGUGAGGAAUAUUGGUCAAUGGGCGAGAGCCUGAACCAGCCAAGUAGCGUGCAGGAUGACGGCCCUAUGGGUUGUAAACUGCUUUUGUAUGGGGAUAAAGUCAAUCACGUGUGAUUGUUUGCAGGUACCAUACGAAUAAGGACCGGCUAAUUCCGUG